rnacentral:rRNA from 12 species
GCAUGGCCACACUCGAGUUCGACUGCCCGAUCCUGUCUGAUCUCGGAAGGUAAGCAGGAUGACCAUGCCUGGUCAGUACCACCUUGGAAGACCAGCGGGUUGUGUCAGGAAGGGCAUCCA